UACGUAGGGACCAAGCGUUGUCCGGAAUCAUUGGGCGUAAAGGAGCGUGUAGGCGGCUUGUUAAGUCUUGCGUGAAAUCUCGGGGCUCAACCCCGAGCGGUCGUGAGAAACUGGCAGGCUAGAGUGCGGGAGAGGAGAGUGGAAUUCCUGGUGUAGCGGUGAAAUGCGCAGAUAUCAGGAAGAACACCCGUGGCGAAGGCGGCUCUCUGGAACGCAACUGACGCUGAGACGCGAAAAGCGUGGGGGAGCAAACAGG
rnacentral:rRNA from 1 species